rnacentral:lncRNA from 1 species
CUCUUUUUUAAAGCCCCGAUCUGUUUCUUACCAUGUUCUCGAUAAUGGUUGGGUGGCAAUUUUGAACUUCACUGCGAUAGGGAAGAUGGGGAGGCUUCUGUGACCUUGACAGGGGAGUGGGGCUUGGUGUGCAGUGGCGGUCGGAACUUAGCCAAAUCAAACCACAUCGUGCGGUGAACAUGCUAGAAGUAAACCAUUUUACUGUUGUUUUAUCUGUUUUUUUUUUUUUUUUAAUUAACCAAUUGCCUAUAGUUCAUAGGUAUAUGUUUCUUUAUAUAAAUUUUCUCUUUGUCAGAUAAAUGUGGUUGUCUUGUUCAAAUUACUUGUGGAAAAAUGAGGAAGGCAUCUUAAGAAUGUAAUAAAGACUUAUAAUGUAGUUACAUUUGUAAUCGGUCUUUUCUGUUUUUUUACACUACAUUUUUCAUAUAUCCUUAUAUGGCUUGGUUGAAGCUGACAGAGGCAUGAGCUUAGUUUUGAUUGAUAUAUUUAUUUUUUUUGGGUUAAGUGUAGUGCAGAGUAUGGAAUUUUUGGUCAAAACUUUAUAUUGAUUUGGUCUUUCAUUUUCUUCAAUUGAUUUAUGUUCACUAAACUUUUAUUUCUAUUGAAAUUUAUGAAUUGUUGUGGAUUUUGACUACUUAGAUGUUUUAGUUAAUACCAGAAAAAGCACAAGUAAAUAAUUCAAACCAUACGUGAGAUAACUUCACUCUAAGUCGAAGUUUAUGUCAUCUAAAACAUGGGAAUUUUUUUAUGUUAUCUGGUAUAUAGGUUAUAUAGGCAUCCAGUCUACAAACAAAUAGAAAUGCUAGUGAACAAGUUCAUCCUUGCUCCAAACAAGAACAUGCUUGAGUUGUUAUUCAAAUUAUCUAUGCAAUAUUGUAUUAUCCAACUCGAGUGGGGUUCAAAAGAGCUAUAACUCUAGAAUUAUAGUAGCAAACGAUUUUACCUUCUUCUGCACAAGUUUUUUAGGUAAAAAUUGAUUAUCUGGUUGUAUUCUGUUUAAAUUUCAAUGUCUUACAUACAUAAUGGUGUUCCAUCUUUGUUGAGUCAUGCUCAACUUUUUUUUUUUUUUUUUUUUUUAAUUAUGAAAUUUCUUGUGAAACCACUUUUGGUCAAUAACUUGCAGGCCUAUGCCUCUUACAUGGAGGGAAUUUUUUUUAGUUGAACAAGAUCAGCACUAGGAAAAAUGAAAGGGCCUGGUCUCGACCUUUUCAAAGCUAAAUUGGAGGUUUGUAUUUUUCCAAGUAUGCAAUCUUGUUAUGGAUGUAGUUGCUAUGUUCUGAUUAUAUUCUUUUUCAUAGGUCAAGGGGAGGGUGUUUUAUUUAUAGCCUCUAUGGCAUGAGGAAAAAAAGAAACUACGUGGGCGUUUCGGCUUGAUUUAAUCCUCAUUGUCCCGUUAUUUUAAUUUAGUUGUUUUCAUUGUAGGAUACCAUAGCUGAGAUUAGAUAUCAACAAGCUGCAUCCAGGGGCGAACCCACAGUGGGUCCUGGUGGGUCACGUGACCCACCAAGUUUGAUUUUUUUCAAUAUGAAUUCAUCAGAUUAGAGUCCUAUUAUAGCUGCAAAUUUGAAAAGGAAAUCCCACCAACCGUCCCAUAAUUUCUGCCUUACUUGAACCCUUCCUUAAUCUCCUUCUUGCCUUGAGUGUUGCCAGCGAUUGGAGCCACUAUCAGAGUCAAAGUCAUCUGCCAUCAACCAUCCGGUUGUGCAGCUGAUUCAGUCGAGUGAUGCUGCUGCCGUUUCAACCAUGCGUGGCCUACCUCCCAUCUUUGAUAGUUGCCACCGCCAUUUGUCGCCAUAGCCGUCCGCUUCCCAAGAACCCAAGUUUAGUACAGAUUCUACAUACUUUAGUCUUUAAAUUAUUUUAUGUUUUGAACUUUGAUUUUACUUACAUCUCUUGAUCUCUAGUUGAAAGCACAUUUGGAAAAAUGACAACUUCUUUUAGAGGAUGGGGUUCAUAAUAGUAGCCUUUUUUUCAAAAAAAAAAAGGACUGCAGUUGCCUUUCAAUGUAAAGUAUUCCUCCAUAUAUCCCAAACAUAUGGUUCAAGUAUCAAGACCGAUUCUAGUUACUAAAGUAACCUCUUCUUCAUUCGAAAUCUUGUUUCAGGUCCUGUAUAAUUAUGAAUGAAUUUAAUGUAGACUAGUUAAUGUAUAUUUCUGAUUUUGAGUUUUCAUUGCAACAAGUCAGCUUUCUUGACAAUUAGUUAUGGUGAAGAGUGAAUUCUGAAUAUAUGAUUUGUGAUUUGGAAAUUUCUCUGGAUUUGUUAAACUAGGCAUGUAAAUGUUAGGGAUUGAAUAUGCCUGGGGCAAAUCUGGAUAUAUGAUUUGUGAUUUGGG